rnacentral:rRNA from 1 species
UACGGGGGGGGCAAGCGUUGUUCGGAAUUACUGGGCGUAAAGGGCGUGUAGGCGGCCAACUAAGUCCGACGUGAAAUCCCCAGGCUUAACCUGGGAACUGCGUCGGAUACUGGAUGGCUUGAAUCCGGGAGAGGGAUGCGGAAUUCCAGGUGUAGCGGUGAAAUGCGUAGAUAUCUGGAGGAACACCGGUGGCGAGGGCGGCAUCCUGGACCGGCAUUGACGCUAAAGCGCGAAAGCCAGGGGAGCAAACGGG